GUUGUGAGGUUAAGCGACUAAGCGUACACGGUGGAUGCCCUGGCAGUCAGAGGCGAUGAAGGACGUGCUAAUCUGCGAUAAGCGCCGGUAAGGUGAUAUGAACCGUUAUAACCGGCGAUUUCCGAAUGGGGAAACCCAGUGUGACUCGUCACACUAUCAUUAACUGAAUCCAUAGGUUAAUGAGGCGAACCGGGGGAACUGAAACAUCUAAGUACCCCGAGGAAAAGAAAUCAACCGAGAUUCCCCCAGUAGCGGCGAGCGAACGGGGAGGAGCCCAGAGCCUGAAUCAGCAUGUGUGUUAGUGGAAGCGUCUGGAAAGGCGCGCGAUACAGGGUGACA
rnacentral:rRNA from 1 species